rnacentral:rRNA from 2 species
AGCAGCCGCGGUAAUUCCAGCUCCAAUAGCGUAUAUUAAAGUUGUUGCAGUUAAAAAGCUCGUAGUUGAAUUUUAGGCCUGACCGGGCGGUCCGUCUCUGGCGAGUACUGUUCUGUUGUCGGGUCUAUCCUUCUGGUGAGCCGGUAUGUCCUUUAUUGGGUGUGUCGGGGAACCAGGACCAUUACCUUGAAAAAAUUAGAGUGUUUAAAGCGGGCUUUUGCUUGAAUAGAUUAGCAUGGAAUAAUAGAAUAGGACGUUGGUUCUAUUUUGUUGGUCUAGGACCACCGUAAUGAUUAAUAGGGAUAGUUGGGGGCAUUAGUAUUCAAUUGUCAGAGGUGAAAUUCUUGGAUUUAUUGAAGACUAACUACUGCGAAAGCAUUUGCCAAGGAUGUUUUCAUUAAUCAAGAACGAAAGUUAGGGGAUCGAAGACGAUCAGAUACCGUCGUAGUCUUAACCAUAAACUAUGCCGACUAGGAAUCGGGCGACGUUAUUUUCAUGACUCGCUCGGCGCCUUAUG